GAGAGUUUGGAAUCUGGCUCAGGACGAACGCUGGCGGCGUGCCUAAUACAUGCAAGUCGAACGAACUCUGGUAUUGAUUGGUGCUUGCAUCAUGAUUUACAUUUGAGUGAGUGGCGAACUGGUGAGUAACACGUGGGAAACCUGCCCAGAAGCGGGGGAUAACACCUGGAAACAGAUGCUAAUACCGCAUAACAACUUGGACCGCAUGGUCCGAGCUUGAAAGAUGGCUUCGGCUAUCACUUUUGGAUGGUCCCGCGGCGUAUUAGCUAGAUGGUGGGGUAACGGCUCACCAUGGCAAUGAUACGUAGCCGACCUGAGAGGGUAAUCGGCCACAUUGGGACUGAGACACGGCCCAAACUCCUACGGGAGGCAGCAGUAGGGAAUCUUCCACAAUGGACGAAAGUCUGAUGGAGCAACGCCGCGUGAGUGAAGAAGGGUUUCGGCUCGUAAAACUCUGUUGUUAAAGAAGAACAUAUCUGAGAGUAACUGUUCAGGUAUUGACGGUAUUUAACCAGAAAGCCACGGCUAACUACGUGCCAGCAGCCGCGGUAAUACGUAGGUGGCAAGCGUUGUCCGGAUUUAUUGGGCGUAAAGCGAGCGCAGGCGGUUUUUUAAGUCUGAUGUGAAAGCCUUCGGCUCAACCGAAGAAGUGCAUCGGAAACUGGGAAACUUGAGUGCAGAAGAGGACAGUGGAACUCCAUGUGUAGCGGUGAAAUGCGUAGAUAUAUGGAAGAACACCAGUGGCGAAGGCGGCUGUCUGGUCUGUAACUGACGCUGAGGCUCGAAAGUAUGGGUAGCAAACAGGAUUAGAUACCCUGGUAGUCCAUACCGUAAACGAUGAAUGCUAAGUGUUGGAGGGUUUCCGCCCUUCAGUGCUGCAGCUAACGCAUUAAGCAUUCCGCCUGGGGAGUACGGCCGCAAGGCUGAAACUCAAAGGAAUUGACGGGGGCCCGCACAAGCGGUGGAGCAUGUGGUUUAAUUCGAAGCUACGCGAAGAACCUUACCAGGUCUUGACAUACUAUGCAAAUCUAAGAGAUUAGACGUUCCCUUCGGGGACAUGGAUACAGGUGGUGCAUGGUUGUCGUCAGCUCGUGUCGUGAGAUGUUGGGUUAAGUCCCGCAACGAGCGCAACCCUUAUUAUCAGUUGCCAGCAUUAAGUUGGGCACUCUGGUGAGACUGCCGGUGACAAACCGGAGGAAGGUGGGGAUGACGUCAAAUCAUCAUGCCCCUUAUGACCUGGGCUACACACGUGCUACAAUGGAUGGUACAACGAGUUGCGAACUCGCGAGAGUAAGCUAAUCUCUUAAAGCCAUUCUCAGUUCGGAUUGUAGGCUGCAACUCGCCUACAUGAAGUCGGAAUCGCUAGUAAUCGCGGAUCAGCAUGCCGCGGUGAAUACGUUCCCGGGCCUUGUACACACCGCCCGUCACACCAUGAGAGUUUGUAACACCCAAAGUCGGUGGGGUAACCUUUUAGGAACCAGCCGCCUAAG
rnacentral:rRNA from 2 species